UACGUAGGGUGCGAGCGUUAAUCGGAAUUACUGGGCGUAAAGCGCGCGUAGGCGGCUUUUCAAGUCGAUUGUGAAAUCCCCGGGCUUAACCUGGGAACUGCAGUCGAGACUGUCUAGCUAGAGUAUGGGAGAGGGAAGUGGAAUUUCAGGUGUAGCGGUGAAAUGCUUAGAUAUCACACAGAACACCGAUUGCGAAGGCAGCUGGCCAACUUGUAACUGACGCUGAGGGACGAAAGUGUGGGGAUCAAACAGG
rnacentral:rRNA from 1 species